rnacentral:rRNA from 1 species
AUUGAACGCUGGCGGCAGGCCUAACACAUGCAAGUCGAGCGGAGCGGCGGACGGGUGAGUAAUGCCUAGGAAUCUGCCUGGUAGUGGGGGAUAACGUCCGGAAACGGGCGCUAAUACCGCAUACUAUCAGAUGGGCCUAGGUCGGAUUAGCUAGUUGGUGGGGGAAAGGCCUACCAAGGCGACGAUCCGUAACUGGUCUGAGCGGAUGAUCAGUCACACUGGAACUGAUACACGGUCCGGACUCCGACGGUAAGCAGCAGUGGGGAAUAUUGGCCAAUGGGCGAAAUACUGUUCCAGCCAUGCCGAGUGUGUGAAGUAGGUCUUCGGAUUUUAAAGCACUUUAAGGUCGGAGGCGUUGCCAACAGAAUAAGCACCGGCUAACUUCGUGCCAGCCGCCGCGGUAAUUC